rnacentral:lncRNA from 1 species
AGCAGACAGGUGUCACCUGUGGUGCUGAGGCCAUACUGCCAGCACUCCUGCCAGCAUCGGGCCACAGCGGGAGCAUCAUGUUCUCUUGCCUGCUGCCUGCUGCCUGCUGCCUCCAUUCUCUUGGCCUGUGUGUUCAAGAGUACUAGGGUAGGGGAAACUCACUGAGAAUGUAGAAGUCACGGCCAUGCUCCCAGUCAGGGACCCUCUUCACCAUCACUCAGUAUCCCCCACUAACAACUGUGCCCAUCUGAAGACAGUUGAGAACAGCGGCUCUCUAAUAGGUAAAGUCAUGAGAGAGGAAGGUAGCCAGGCUGGCUUGUUGAACACUUCACUACAGAGGUCAGUGAAUCUGUGUCAGGUGCUGUCACUGUGGCUUUCAGGUGAACUGUAACAGACUUCCUGUGAGUCCUUUCUUAUCAUCCCAUCUUUUCCUUUGAUUUCUUCCUUCAAAAGGAAGGUGAUUCCAAAAUAAAAACAAUGCUUUUGUGUCUUGAUUCAGAAAGUAAGUGAAGUUCUAAAAUGCCUGGCAAAAGGAGAGGAGGGAGACAUCUUUUUAUUCAAGGUGCAAGGUGCAGGGUGAUCUCUGCUGUUGUGAAACCGACUUGGAAGCUUUCCUAUGGAUUCUGUGGGAGUCCUGUGUGGGAAGGAGUGUUCAUUCACAAUUUCCUCAUUAGGAGGGGUCAGUGACCAUGUUGCCAGCAGGACUCUGGCAGUAGGGAAAAGUGAAACUUCCCUCUAAUUGUUUACAUCAAAUGUUCACCUCCUUUAGAGAUGGUGAAUCUUACCUAUUUUUAUAUUGUACCUUCCUGAAGAAGUGAGAUUACCCUUUUCUUUCUCUGAUGUAAAGGAGAAAUUGCUUUCUGCUUGCUAGCUAGAACCAGCUGACAGCAAUGCCGCGUGUUAGGAGUCAGGACGGCAAGUAGGCUUUUUAAGAAUGAGGUCACCCAGUAGCCGUUCCCAGUGGCUUUCAGGGAAUAAUGCUUUCCUUAUUGGAGGAAUUCUCUCCCAACUGCCUAAAUCCGAUGAAAACAAAGCUGUAAUACUUUAAUCAGCACAUAAACUGCUCUCUUAACUUCCCUUGAAGCAACGUAAGUAAAAUCUUUCUCUAGCUUUAUUCUAGAGUGCAAAUAGCUUCUUUACAGCUUUGUGAUCAGUCACGCCGUAGCUCACUGAAGCAGAAGCCUGGUUCUGCUCUGACGUUGUGAAUGGUGAGAAUUCCUUUUGGACAGGCCUGCAUUUUAAUGAUGCAGGCAGAGAACAUCUUUCAUCCAGCGUGUGGGACAGCAGUUGUACAAUAGAAACGCUUGAGAAUGUCCUAGGAGCUGCAUUCCUAAGGCAUGACACUGCAAGAGAAAAAUACUGUAAUGGAGAACAGCAACAAUGGGGGCUAAUCCAUCUUCCUAACGGUUUCUUUGCCUUUCUUUGCUCCUCUGUAUUUUUAGCUUAAGGUCAGCGUUCGCACAUUACUUUUCAAUAGGUGCUGCUCCCUCCUUCCUCAUUGACUAGCCUAUUUCCAUACAUAAUAUUAGUAUCCCGAUUCCUUUCUAAACUUCUCUGGC